GAGGGGUUUCUUCCCCUUGUUGGUGUCUCUUCCCCCUCUUGCUGCUAUGGCAGAUUCUGGACAGUGUGCAGCCUGUGAGGUAAUCUGAAUUCCUUGGCAACCGGCAAGUACCUGAAUUCUUUCAAAACCACAGGAAUCCAGCAGAGAAAAGACCAUUUGUGAACAACAGUGGCCCUAGGAUCUUCAUACCAAUUGCCAUUGCAUGAAAAUACAAUGUGACCCUGGAUCCCUGCUGGGAAAGGAAGGCUUUCAUCAGGUUGCUCAGAGAACUUACAGAUCUUUCCACAAUGGAUCCUGGCAUUUUCCCUGUGAAAUGGGAUGGAUAUUUCACUGACUCACUCCAUAGUGCUUGCUAUGCCACUGCAGGU